AGUUAAGGUGUACAAUCAAGACUUCAGAAACCAUUUCAUUCAAGAACUGAAAGAAGACAAUAUGGUAGAACUGGGGAGUAGAGGAGAGAAAUUAAUCUAGCAAGUUCAUCAGCCCUAUGGUAUCAAAGACUCCUCUGUUUCACUCAUUGCUGUUUCCCCCAGGCCUCAGAACAGCAUCUAUAUAAGGGAGGCAGGCGGGUCAGAGUCAUAAAGGUCAUGUGAUGAUGGAAGCAGAGGUCAGAGCGUUGCAGGGCCAUGAGCCAAGGAAUAUGGCUGCCUCUAGAAGCUGGAAAAGGUGAAAAAGAAGGAUUCUCUCCAAAACCUCUAGAAGUAACACAGCCAC